GCCGCUCCCGGGGGCAGGAACCGGGCUCGGCAGGGAGGAAAGGGAAUAGCGCUGUCCCGGAAUCUGGUGGGACCACACAACCGUAGUUAAGGAGUCGGAGUGGACUUUAUACUAUUUCCAAUCUAGUUGCAACUCCCUGCCACUAGCCAGGGCACCUUCCACUAGACCAGGUCCCUCAGAGACCCAUCCAAGCUGGCUUUGAACAUCUCCAGGGCUGGGCUAGGCAGAGCUGGGCUAGGCAGAGCUGCUCCGGGCUCACCACCCUGGCAGUACUUUGUUCCUAAUGUCUAAUCUAAUUUUCCCCUCUUUCAGUUUGUACCCAUUACUCCUUGUCCUAUUGCUACUCCAGUUCCUGACAGAGUCCCUCUCCAGCUUCUGUAUAGCUCCCUUUCAGAUACUGGAAGGUUGCCAUGAGAUCUUCACACAAACUUCUCCAGGCCUGAAGAGCCCCAGCUUUCUCAGCCUGUUGUCAUAGGGGCUGUAUGCUCAGCUAGGACUGGCGACACUGAGACUUCCACAGUUGGCAGAAGACACUGAUCACCAGCAAGGUUUUUUGCUGCUGUGCUUUGUAAACCUUGUCAUCGGGUCUGGCUGCGCUGAAAGCAGCAUUUCCCAGAGACACCCCAAUGCUACAGAUUUCCCUGAGCAAGGGCUUUGCAAAGGAGGGAUGAAAAAGUGUUCUACAACACAAUCACAGUCCUCAAGAGUAUGAAUUUCUACAAGGGAAAGAGGAAAAAGGAAUCAAAAAAACUCAGUGCCUUUCAGGGAGUCUUUGUAGACUACAAUAAAACUAGAUGAAAAAGGUGAGAUUUUCCCCCUCCCCAGUCUCCUGCCAAUCAUUUCACAAAUUAACAGGUGUGAAGGUAGAAUUCAGCUCCCAACAGCACGAUGAUGAUUAUUCCUUCAUUUCAUUCCAACAGCUGCACUUGGAAAAUAUUUAACAGAAGCCAUUACCAUUCACUAUGUUGAGAGGGUAACAAUCAACACUGUAUUAUGAUUCCCGGAUAAAGGACCUUUUACAUCUUGGCCUUUAAUGAAUGCUGAAAUAUCUCCAUGUUCUGGUUUUUCGUUUGUCCUGUGCUCGCUGUUUCCAAGUCACACAAACACCACCUCGAUUGACAAAGCCCCAGCCAGGGCCAUUUGUCAGUGUGCACAGGAACACACAGUGUUUUCAUCAGUGCAUCCUUUUACCAUUCUGGCAAAUCUGCAGUUUGCACUUGGGCGAUGUGGAAAUGACACAACUCUUCCGACAGACAGGCAGGGUGACUGAAAACAUCCGCGCUCGAUGCCAACAACCUGCCUUACGUGCUGCUGACUCACCUGCUUGGCUCAGCUGGAGGGAGGUCUCUAAACUGGCUGCACUGCUGCCAUUCGCUCUUGCCAGGGUCAUGUUAGGCAACUCUCCUAAUGGUGUGUGCUGAAAUGCUGCAGAGAGCACUGCCACGCUCCCAAUGCUCCUCAGUUGCUGCAGAUGAUAUUAAGACAUGGGUUACACCACCUAUUGACCAAUACAUUCAGAGUCCUGUCAGCACAGAGCAGGUAGUGCUGUGUCCAGGGGACAGCUAUGCUGUCAUUUAUUCAUCUCCCCUAGGCAGGCCCUGGCAGUAGGAAGAAAAUCACAGGCAGAAGAGAGUGCUCCUUAGUCACUGAAGCACCUUCUUGUAAAGUCUGAGUCCUGCUGCAUUAAUCACAUGAAAUUAGACUUUUUAAUGAGAGGGUGGGGGAAGCAGUAGUUUCCCUUUUGAGUUGUUGGAAAGUCAUUCCUUCCUCUCACCUUGUCCCUGUGUAUCUAAUUUCUGUGGAAGUGAUCUGCAAUGCCCACAACAGGCCCACAUGCUACCCUCACACCAAAACAAAUGAAAAUCAUCACAGAAACUCAUCUUGGUUGGGACCUACAUCUGCAUUUCUUCUCACAGGUGCCAUUUAAUCUCUAAAAAGACCAUUUUUGGAGAAGCAGCCUGGCAUUAAUUUCAAAGUGAAAGCACAUACAAGCUCUUGUUCAGAUGCAUGUACUCCACAACAGUGGAAACUAUUUUUAUAGGCAUUAACAGGAGUGUGAGCAUAAUGGACUAAGUUAGGGGCCUCAACACAUACAUAAAAGCAAUUCAGGCAAAACACUAAGUGGGAUAUAAAUUGGCUGCAAUAACACUUCAGCAGACAAUUAUGUCAUUAUGUCCCCAGAAUUCAGAGUGAGGUCUGUAAGUCUCCCAGAAAACAAGCUGAAGCAGAGACCUCAAUAGUUACAAACACUGCAGGCCUCAUUUAAGAACAGGAGUACAAUUAUUUAUGGCAUUGACAGUUUCAUGUGUCCAGAGAUCUUUUUCAUAUAGAAAGUAUUUGUUUUGGGGUUUCCCCUGGCUUUCCUCUGACUAGAAACUGAAGGGGGCCAGGGGCAGAAUGUCAUUGUUUUAUGGCUAAAGUAUCAGGAUGGGCAACUUGUACUCUGAUUUUUUUUCUCAGACAUUUUUUUUCCUGCAUGAGCUCAGGCAAGUCACAAAGAAUUUACACUGACAGCCAAUCAGUAAUCCUAGGCUGGCUUCUUCACUUAACUGCACGGACUAUCUUAAUGUCUGCGAGCCAUUGUACAACAGAGCCUGCAGCCAUGCUAAAUAAAGAUAAAAUGGUUAAAUAUUUAUAAAUUGCUUCUUUUGGUAGUUUAACAUUUAGAUCAGAAGCCAUCCCUCAACAUGCCUCCCCUGAAAAAAGCCCAGGAUGUCAUGGGACCUAAUGUCUUGACAACUCGUUCCUUUCAAGUGCUUUUGACAGAAAUGGGACUACCUAUUCAUGCAGCUCAGCUCUGUGCUCAUACUCCCAAAGCAGUGCCGUCAGUGAUUGUCACCACGCUGCCCUUCCCAGCCUGGCCCCGGGGAGAGGCUGUCCGUCCGCUGAGUCCGGCUGCACCAGCACCCCCUUCCAGGAGAGCGGAUCUGCUCCCCGCUCGGACAAGCUGGCAGCAGAAGCAGCACCUGGACUGACAUCAGAUUUCACUGCAGGAUGGUCAUAGGGCUCUCCUACAAAGAGCACCUACUGCCUCUUCAGAAAGUCCUGUAUCUUUUCCUGCUUCAUUUGCGAGGUUUGCAUGAGAUGUACUUGCUUGUGCUGCAAUUAUAACUGAGCACUACAUACACAGCAUAAAGCACUCCUUGUGCUGCUUGGGUUGGAGCAACAGGGAACUUUCAGCCACUUCUAGUACAGGUGACAGAGGAAGCAUCAAAAGCAGCUGCCUUCAACUCCUGGUCCCAAACUAAACUGUAAACUGCUUUUUUUAGAGAGGAAAAAAAAUCAUCUAUCUCAUAAAUAAGUCGAACAAGUUCUCAUGUUCUCUUUCAGUGACUGACAAGAUCAUACUUAAAUGACUGACCAAAAGGGUUUUAUGGAAACGAAACAAUGAUUAGCCAUUGGUUAAGCUACUUAAGAGGCAGAAGACAGGGUACUCUCCUUACUUCCUCUCAAAAUCCAUUAUCACCAGCCUCAAUCAAUUUUUCCUGCUGAGCUGUCCUCAAGCCAUAUAACUUACCCAGUCCUUCUACAUCUCCUUCCCUCCCUGACAGCAGUUUUGUUUUUCAUCACUUUUCAACCUCCUCUCCUUCAGGGGUCCUGAAAAGACCCACACCAUUAGCAACCAUUUCAACUCCUUUUAUAAAAGGCCCUGGGACACAACAACAUUUUAGGAAAUAGAUCUGCUGGCUCCACACAGGUUACUAAAGAUUGAAGCCACAACUGCCAGAAUGAGCUUGAACUGUCCCCUUCUUGGGAAUUAGCCAUCACUUUCCGUAACGCCUCAGGGAAAUGGGUCAUUUUUGAAGAGAAUAAUCUGAUGUUGCUCUAUGGUUAAGUGCUCCCAUAUUGCUCAAUGACCAACUAACAAACAUCAUGAAACACUGAAAUUAUCAAUUUGUAUUGCUGCUUUGAGACAGGGAGUUCAAGACCACCGACAGUGUAGCAAGAGACCUCACUCCAGGUCUUGAUGGACGAAGCUUGAGCCCAAACUCAAAUUACAGCUUUGUUAGGACAUGAGUCCACAACAACCAACUUACAUCAUGUUGAAGAGGUCUGAGGAACACAAAAGAUGUGCUGAGAGAGGACAAGAGCACAGAGCUUGCUCCCCCACCUCCUCCUGGCCAAGCUGGUCUACACCACAGCACCAUGAGGAAGAAACCAGACUGGAGUGAUGAGAAACCACAGGCUGCAUUCCCCUCCCCUCGUCCUGGCACAUUUCUGGGCAAGACACUACAGGGCAGUUUUGCCUGACCACUCCAAUAACUUUUGGAAUGGUUCCUAUUGGGGAACAGCUAUUGGUACGUGUAUUGUUUCCUUUUUUUUCAGAAUGACAAUGUAAGUGCAACAACUGUAAAAUCAUCCCCCUUGCAGAAGAGAUUGUCUGUAAAUACUCCCCAAAGCAGAUCUAAACCAAACAAAACACAGGCAAAACUCCUAACUGGCCUUAGUGAGGUCUUGCAAAUGCAACACUCAAACACCGUGUGCAGCCAACGUAACAGCAAA